UACGUAGGGUGCAAGCGUUGUCCGGAAUUAUUGGGCGUAAAGAGCUCGUAGGCGGUUUGUCGCGUCUGGUGUGAAAAUCCAGGGCUUAACCCUGGACCUGCAUCGGGUACGGGCAGACUAGAGUGCGGUAGGGGGAGAUCGGAAUUCCUGGUGUAGGCGGUGAAAUGCGCAGAUAUCAGGAGGAACACCGGUGGCGAAGGCAGGUCUCUGGGCAUUAACUGACGCUGAGGAGCGAAAGCAUGGGGAGCGAACAGG
rnacentral:rRNA from 1 species